UACAGAGGGUGCUAGCGUUGUUCGGAAUCAUUGGGCGUAAAGGGCGUGUAGGCGGUUUGCUAAGUCAUGUGUGAAAUCCCUCGGCUCAACUGGGGAGGGUCACGCGAUACUGAUCGACUCGAAGGCAGGAGAGGGUAGUGGAAUUCCCGGUGUAGUGGUGAAAUGCGUAGAUAUCGGGAGGAACACCAGUGGCGAAGGCGACUACCUGGCCUGUUCUUGACGCUGAGGCGCGAAAGCUAGGGGAGCAAACGGG
rnacentral:rRNA from 1 species